AUUAUUUGAAAAAAAUAAAUAAAUAAAUUAAAUGCAUGGCAGGAUUAUACCGGACCAUCACAAACUGCAAAAGAAAGACAAAACAAGAAAGAAGAGAAAAAUGUCAAGCAGAAAGGACAUGAGACAACCUGAUCAAGCAAAAACUAAAAUAACACAUGUGAGACGGCAAAGCAUUGACAGUGGCAAACCCAAUUUUUCUAAUGAUGAGGACAGUUUUGAGAGCACAGCAGAUCAUCUCAUCAAACUAGCAAAAUAUAGUGUGCACGAAGAUGUGGAAAAAAAUAGGCAUAAAUCUAGCUUACCAAUUUUUCAGGCUAAUUGUUGUAAUUAAGGAUCAGACCAGUUUGCCCAAUAGUGGCAAGACAUAUAAGAACAUCUGACAAAUUGGUUUGUCCUUCAAGAACCAGGAAAAGAAAAUCGGAAUCACCUUUACCAUAAUUGAGAUGGAGUAUGUCUUGGGACAAAUAAUAAGACGCCGGAGGGAGAGGUUAUACAGGCCCAGACAGACCUAUCUCUCCCUCGGUGAGGAGGAAUGCAUACACAAGUUAAGCCUGACCCGCCAGGCUGUGACAGACAUCUGCCAUCUCCUGGCAGAUGAGCUGGGGACUGAUGCACCCUGUCCCUAUGCCUUCCCCGUUGCAGUAAAGGUUACAGCGG